GCAGUCGAGCGGAACGAGUUAUCUGAACCUUCGGGGAACGAUAACGGCGUCGAGCGGCGGACGGGUGAGUAAUGCCUAGGAAAUUGCCUUGAUGUGGGGGAUAACCAUUGGAAACGAUGGCUAAUACCGCAUGAUGCCUACGGGCCAAAGAGGGGGACCUUCGGGCCUCUCGCGUCAAGAUAUGCCUAGGUGGGAUUAGCUAGUUGGUGAGGUAAUGGCUCACCAAGGCGACGAUCCCUAGCUGGUCUGAGAGGAUGAUCAGCCACACUGGAACUGAGACACGGUCCAGACUCCUACGGGAGGCAGCAGUGGGGAAUAUUGCACAAUGGGCGCAAGCCUGAUGCAGCCAUGCCGCGUGUAUGAAGAAGGCCUUCGGGUUGUAAAGUACUUUCAGCAGUGAGGAAGGGGGUGUCGUUAAUAGCGGCAUCUCUUGACGUUAGCUGCAGAAGAAGCACCGGCUAACUCCGUGCCAGCAGCCGCGGUAAUACGGAGGGUGCGAGCGUUAAUCGGAAUUACUGGGCGUAAAGCGCAUGCAGGUGGUUUGUUAAGUCAGAUGUGAAAGCCCGGGGCUCAACCUCGGAACUGCAUUUGAAACUGGCAAACUAGAGUACUGUAGAGGGGGGUAGAAUUUCAGGUGUAGCGGUGAAAUGCGUAGAGAUCUGAAGGAAUACCAGUGGCGAAGGCGGCCCCCUGGACAGAUACUGACACUCAGAUGCGAAAGCGUGGGGAGCAAACAGGAUUAGAUACCCUGGUAGUCCACGCCGUAAACGAUGUCUACUUGGAGGUUGUGGCCUUGAGCCGUGGCUUUCGGAGCUAACGCGUUAAGUAGACCGCCUGGGGAGUACGGUCGCAAGAUUAAAACUCAAAUGAAUUGACGGGGGCCCGCACAAGCGGUGGAGCAUGUGGUUUAAUUCGAUGCAACGCGAAGAACCUUACCUACUCUUGACAUCCAGAGAACUUAGCAGAGAUGCUUUGGUGCCUUCGGGAACUCUGAGACAGGUGCUGCAUGGCUGUCGUCAGCUCGUGUUGUGAAAUGUUGGGUUAAGUCCCGCAACGAGCGCAACCCUUAUCCUUGUUUGCCAGCGAGUAAUGUCGGGAACUCCAGGGAAACUGCC
rnacentral:rRNA from 1 species